rnacentral:rRNA from 1 species
AUCUACUCUAAUCAUACAAAAUCUACUUAAAUAAAACACUUUAAUAAUAAUUCUCUACUCAAUCACCAAUAUUAAGUACUAAAAAGGAAACAACUAAUAAACUUAAGUAGUGUUUAACACACGUACCUUGUGCAUUAUGGUUUUACAAGCUAAAAAUUAAAAAUAAACUCCCGAAUUCUACACGAGCUGCCCUUAUAUAGCUUAGAUCCCACUACUAGUUGUAACACCAACCUUAGAAAAUAUACUGGCAGAGGCUACAUACCACACGCGUUAGAAAAUUGCUGGUUCUCGAUAAAAUUUAUUAAUUAAAACAUAUAGCAUCAUCUAUAGUGUAAGACUUUAGAGGACAAGCCCUAAAAUCCCACGCCAAGUAGUUUUAAUUCUUACCAACUAGGCUUAAAAACAGCCAUUAACAGUACUUUACCGUACUACUUAUAAAAUAAAUAAAUAUAUUGCAUCACGAAAUCGAGAUCUAAGAAAAAUAAUCAAUCUUAAAAUAUUAUGUAAAAAUAAGUAUUAGAAAAAUAAAUAAUAACUAACAUAUAACAAUAUAUACUACUAUCAAAUAAAAACUUAUAAAGGAACUCGGCAAAUCAUUAUUUCGACUGUUUAACAAAAACAUUGCUUCUUGCAUCCACAUAAGAAGUAAUUCCUGCCCAGUGACUCACGUUCAACGGCCGCGGUAUCCUAACCGUGCAAAGGUAGCAUAAUCACUUGCCCAUUAAUUGUGGGCUAGAAUGAAAGGACCAACGAAAUAAAAACUGUCUCUAUAAGUCGCAUAAAAAUUAAUCUCUAACUGAAGACUGUUAGAUACCGUUGAAGGACAAGAAGACCCUGUAGAGCUUCAUUUUAAUUAAAACUGACUAUUUAAAUAAGAUUCGGUUGGGGCGACCAGGGAAAAAUCAAUCAUCCCCUACAAAAAGAUUAAUUAAUCUACUUUAUGACCCUUAAUUAAGAUCACCAGAACAAGCUACCUUAGGGAUAACAGGCUAAUCCCACUAAAGAGUUCUUAUCAAUAGUGGGGGUUGGCACCUCGAUGUUGGCUUAGGGAAUCUAUAUGAAGCAAAAGUCAUAUAAAGAUGGUUUGUUCAACCAAUAAUACCCUACAUGAGCUGAGUUCAGACCGGCGUAAGCCAGGUUAGUUUCUAUCCUCAAUAAAUAAAUCUAUUUAUAGUACGAAAGGACCUAAUUAAGAAUAAUAAUUAUAACAUAAGAAAGAAUAUAAACUAUAUUAAAUAAUAUAUCACAUCCACUAUG